GUUGUUCGGAAUUACUGGGCGUAAAGGGCGCGUAGGCGGUUGGAUAAGUCAGCUGUGAAAACCACGGGCUUAACUCGUGGCCUGCAGUUGAGACUGUCUGGCUUGAGUGUGGGAGAGGAGAGUGGAAUUCCUGGUGUAGCGGUGAAAUGCGUAGAUAUCAGGAGGAACACCGGUGGCGAAGGCGGCUCUCUGGACCACAACUGACGCUGAGGCGCGAAAGCUAGGGGAGCAAACAGG
rnacentral:rRNA from 1 species